UGCCAGCAGCCGCGGUAAUACGGAGGGAUCGAACGUUAAUCGGAAUUACUGGGCGUAAAGCGCGCGUAGGUGGUUUGUUAAGCGGGAUGUGAAAGCCCCGGGCUCAACCUGGGAACUGCAUUCCGAACUGCCAGACUAGAGUACGGUAGAGGGAGGUGGAAUUUCCUGUGUAGCGGUGAAAUGCGUAGAUAUAGGAAGGAACACCAGUGGCGAAGGCGGCCUCCUGGACUGAUACUGACACUGAGGUGCGAAAGCGUGGGGAGCAAACAGGAUUAGAUA
rnacentral:rRNA from 1 species